rnacentral:misc_RNA from 1 species
GACAGAGGGUGCAAACGUUGCUCGGAAUCACUGGGCGUAAAGGGCGUGUAGGCGGGAGCGCAAGUCGGGCGUGAAAUCCCCAGGCUCAACCUGGGAACUGCACCCGAAACUGCGUUUCUUGAGUGUCGGAGAGGAAAGCGGAAUUCCUGGUGUAGAGGUGAAAUUCGUAGAUAUCAGGAGGAACACCAGUGGCGAAGGCGGCUUUCUGGACGACAACUGACGCUGAGACGCGAAAGCGUGGGGAGCAAACAGG